rnacentral:rRNA from 1 species
AGCGGAGGAAAAGAAACUAAACAAGGAUUCCCCUAGUAACGGCGAGCGAAGCGGGAAGAGCUCAAAUUUGAAAGCUGGCACCUCCGGUGUCCGCGUUGUAAUCUCGAGACGUGUUUUCCGUGCGGCUCUAUGGACAAGUCCCUUGGAAUAGGGCAUCGUAGAGGGUGAGAAUCCCGUACUUGCCAUGGAAGAACCGUGCUUUGCGAUACACGCUCUAAGAGUCGAGUUGUUUGGGAUUGCAGCUCAAAAUGGGUGGUAGACUCCAUCUAAAGCUAAAUAUCGGGGAGAGACCGAUAGCGAACAAGUACCGUGAGGGAAAGAUGAAAAGCACUUUGGAAAGAGAGUUAAAAGUACGUGAAAUUGUCGAAAGGGAAGCACUUGAAGUCAGCCAUGCUGCUUGAGACUCAGCCUGGCCUUUGGGCUUGGUGUAUUUCUCGGUGGCAAGCCAGCAUUGGUUUGGGUCGUCGGAGAAGCGCAUAGGGAAUGUAGCGUUUCCGGGGACUGGUUUGGU